CCUCGAUGUCGGCUCAUCACAUCCUGGGGCUGAAGCCGGUCCCAAGGGUAUGGCUGUUCGCCAUUUAAAGUGGUACGCGAGCUGGGUUUAGAACGUCGUGAGACAGUUCGGUCCCUAUCUGCCGUGGGCGUUGGAGAUUUGAGAAGAGUUGCUCCUAGUACGAGAGGACCGGAGUGAACGAACCUCUGGUGUUCCGGUUGUCACGCCAGUGGCAUUGCCGGGUAGCUAUGUUCGGACAGGAUAACCGCUGAAAGCAUCUAAGCGGGAAGCCCCCUUCAAGAUAAGAUCUCUCUGGGAACUUGAUUCCCCUGAAGAGCCGUUGAAGACUACAACGUUGAUAGGCUGGGUGUGGAAGUGCAGCAAUGCAUGAAGCUAACCAGUACUAAUUGCUCGUGAGGCUUGACCAUAUAACACCCAA
rnacentral:rRNA from 1 species